UACGAGGGGGGCAAGCGUUGUUCGGAUUUAUUGGGCGUAAAGGGUGCGUAGGCGGUUUGGCAAGUCUUGUGUGAAAUCUUCGGGCUCAACCCGAAGCCUGCAUAAGAAACUGCCGGGCUUGAGUAUGGGAGAGGUGAGUGGAAUUUCCGGUGUAGCGGUGAAAUGCGUAGAUAUCGGAAGGAACACCUGUGGCGAAAGCGGCGCACUGGACCACAACUGACGCUGAGGCGCGAAAGCUAGGGGAGCAAACAGG
rnacentral:rRNA from 1 species